GUCUACGGCCAGACCCAUCCUGAACGCGCCUGAUCUCAUCUGAUCUCAGAAGCUAAGCAGGGUCCGGCCCGGUUAGUACUUGGAUGGGAGACCGCUUGGGAAUACCAGGUGCCGUAGGCC